rnacentral:rRNA from 1 species
AUUGAACGCUGGCGGUAGGCCUAACACAUGCAAGUCGAACGCGAAAGUCCUUCGGGACGAGUAAAGUGGCGCACGGGUGAGUAACGCGUGGAUAAUCUGCCCUUCAGUUGGGAAUAACUCAUCGAAAGGUGAGCUAAUACCGAAUAACACUGCCUGACCACGGUCCGGUAGUCAAAGAUAGCCUCUGCUUGCAAGCUUUCGCUGAAAGAUGAGUCCGCGUACCAUUAGCUAGUUGGUGGGGUAAUGGCCUACCAAGGCGACGAUGGUUAGCUGGUCUGAGAGGAUGAUCAGCCACACUGGAACUGAGACACGGUCCAGACUCCUACGGGAGGCAGCAGUGGGGAAUAUUGGACAAUGGGGGGCAACCCUGAUCCAGCCAUGCCGCGUGUGUGAAGAAGGCCUUCGGGUUGUUAAGCACUUUCUAGUCGAGAAGAAAAGGACGUGCGGUGAAGUAACU